rnacentral:rRNA from 1 species
CCUACGGGAGGCUGCAGUGGGGAAUAUUGCACAAUGGGGGAAACCCUGAAGCAGCGACGCCGCGUGAGGGAAGAAGUAUUUCGGUAUGUAAAACUCUUUCAGCAGGGAAGAAAAUGACGGUACCUGAUGAAUAAGCCCCGGCUAACUACGUGCAAGCCGCCGCGGGAAUACGUAGGGGGCAAGCGGUAUCCGGAUUUACUGGGUGUAAAGGGAGCGUAGGCGGGUUCGGAAGUCUGAAGUGAAAUGCCGGGGCUUAACCCCGGAACUGCUUUGGAAACUGUGCAGCUAGAGUGCAGGAGAGGUAAGUGGAAUUCCUGGUGUAGCGGUGAAAUGCGUAGAUAUUAGGAGGAACACCAGUGGCGAAGGCGGCUUACUGGACUAUAACUGACGUUGAGGCUCGAAAGCGUGGGGAGCAAACAGGAUUAGAUACCCUUGUAGUC